rnacentral:rRNA from 1 species
UACGGAGGGGGCAAGCGUUAUUCGGAAUUAUUGGGCGUAAAGGGCGCGUAGGCGGCUAGAUGUGUCAAAGGUGAAAUCCCUCGGCUCAACUGAGGAACUGCCUUUGAAACUGUCUGGCUUGAGGCCGGGAGAGGGUAGCGGAAUUCCCAGUGUAGCGGUGAAAUGCGUAGAUAUUGGGAGGAACACCAGUGGCGAAGGCGGCUGCCUGGACCGGUUCUGACGCUGAGGCGCGAAAGCGUGGGUAGCAAACAGG